rnacentral:rRNA from 1 species
GAUGAACGCUGGCGGCGUGCCUAAUACAUGCAAGUCGAGCGAACAGACGAGGAGCUUGCUCCUCUGACGUUAGCGGCGGACGGGUGAGUAACACGUGGAUAACCUACCUAUAAGACUGGGAUAACUUCGGGAAACCGGAGCUAAUACCGGAUAAUAUAUUGAACCGCAUGGUUCAAUAGUGAAAGACGGUUUUGCUGUCACUUAUAGAUGGAUCCGCGCCGCAUUAGCUAGUUGGUAAGGUAACGGCUUACCAAGGCGACGAUGCGUAGCCGACCUGAGAGGGUGAUCGGCCACCCUGGAACUGGGACACGGUCCAGACUCCUACGGGAGGCAGCAGUAGGGAAUCUUCCGCAAUGGGCGAAAGCCUGACGGAGCAACGCCGCGGGAGUGAUGAAGGUCUUCGGAUCGUAAAACUCUGUUAUUAGGGAAGAACAAAUGUGUAAGUAACUAUGCACGUCUUGACGGUACCUAAUCAGAAAGCCACGGCUAACUACGUG